UAAGUUACAUAUCACAUAUAUAAUUUCAGAUCUAACUUAUGCAUGCUUUAUAUACAUCUCAUGUAUUAAAAUCUGAUCUAAUUAGCAUGCUUUCAGAUCUGAUACAUCACAUAUAAUAUCUAAAAAAUAAGAUUUAAAUUGAACUAUUCAAUAUAAAAUCUAUUCUAGACAGUUACUAGAAUAAUUCUACAACUAGUCUAGGCAUGCAACAGAUCAAUCUUAUGUAUUAAUUAAAAUUUUAUUUUUUAUUUUUUGAUCUGAAUAUAAUAUUUAUAACAUCAAAAAAAUAGAUAAUAAAUUAAAUCUAAUUUAUAUUU
rnacentral:lncRNA from 1 species